UGAGGAAUAUUGGUCAAUGGGAGAGAUCCUGAACCAGCCAAGCCGCGUGAGGGAAGACGGCACUACGUGUUGUAAACCUCUUUGCCGGGGAACAAAAGCGGGGACGCGUCCCCGUCCGCGUGUACCCGGACGAAAAAGCAAUCGGCUAACUCCGUGCCAGCAGCCGCGGUAAUACGGAGGAUGCGAGCGUUAUCCGGAUUUAUUGGGUUUAAAGGGUGCGUAGGCGGUUCCUUAAGUAAGCGGUAAAAUCGCGGGGCUCAACCCCGCCGAGCGUUUAGACUGGGGGACUUGAGACGGCGAGAAGUACGCGGAAUGCGCGGUGUAGCGGUGAAAUGCAUAGAUAUCGCGCAGAACUCCGAUUGCGAAGGCAGCGUACCGGCGCCGUUCUGACGCUGAGGCACGAAAGCGUGGGGAUCGAACAGGAUUAGAUACC
rnacentral:rRNA from 1 species